UAAUACAACUAGAAGUGUGACUUAAAUUGAAAUGUUGGCUCCGAGAUUUCUUUCUCGCACGGAGUCGAGGAAGGAUCUCUGGGCUUAUUUAAUAAAUUUGCUGCAACAUAAUUGUUACAUAUGUGUUACUCAUCUACACUCUUCUAAUGUUGCAAGCCCAUGAAGAUGAUAGUCUUCGAUAGGCCUAGGUCUUCCUCCUAUAUUCUAGCAUUUCUGCACUUCAGUCCAAAGAUAUAGCCCCAUUCCUUUGAAACCAAUGCAUACUUAGCAUAGUUCUCAUCUCAGUCUUGCGAGUACUUUUGAUGAGUACUCAAAGUUGCUUUACUCCCCUUUUUCCUCUUGAUAUGAUUUUCACGACCAGAUGACGGAGCCCAGGAGCCAGUUGAUCCUGCUGACGACUAAUACUACCC
rnacentral:lncRNA from 1 species